AGUGAACGCUGGCGGUAGGCCUAACACAUGCAAGUCGAACGGCAGCACAGUAAGAGCUUGCUCUUACGGGUGGCGAGUGGCGGACGGGUGAGGAAUGCAUCGGAAUCUACUUUUUCGUGGGGGAUAACGUAGGGAAACUUACGCUAAUACCGCAUACGACCUACGGGUGAAAGCAGGGGAUCUUCGGACCUUGCGCGAUUGAAUGAGCCGAUGUCGGAUUAGCUAGUUGGCGGGGUAAAGGCCCACCAAGGCGACGAUCCGUAGCUGGUCUGAGAGGAUGAUCAGCCACACUGGAACUGAGACACGGUCCAGACUCCUACGGGAGGCAGCAGUGGGGAAUAUUGGACAAUGGGCGCAAGCCUGAUCCAGCCAUACCGCGUGGGUGAAGUAGGCCUUCGGGUUGUAAAGCCCUUUUGUUGGGAAAGAAAAGCAGCAGGUUAAUACCCCGCUGUUCUGACGGUACCCAAAGAAUAAGCACCGGCUAACUUCGUG
rnacentral:rRNA from 1 species